rnacentral:rRNA from 1 species
CCUACGGGAGGCAGCAGUGGGGAAUAUUGGGCAAUGGGCGCAAGCCUGACCCAGCAACGCCGCGUGAAGGAAGAAGGCUUUCGGGUUGUAAACUUCUUUUCUCAGGGACGAAGCAAGUGACGGUACCUGAGGAAUAAGCCACGGCUAACUACGUGCCAGCAGCCGCGGUAAUACGUAGGUGGCAAGCGUUAUCCGGAUUUACUGGGUGUAAGGGGCGUGUAGGCGGGAAAGCAAGUCAGAUGUGAAAACCAUGGGCUCAACCUGUGGCGUGCAUUUGAAACUGUUUUUCUUGAGUACUGGUGAGGCAGACGGAAUUCCUAGUGUAGCGGUGAAAUGCGUAGAUAUUAGGAGGAACACCAGUUGCGAAGGCGGUCUGCUGGACAGCAACUGACGCUGAGGCGCGAAAGCGUGGGGAGCAAACAGGAUUAGAUACCCGAGUAGUC